rnacentral:rRNA from 1 species
GACGAGCGCUGGCGGCAUGCCUAAUACAUGCAAGUCGAGCGAACGGAUGAAGUGCUUGCACUUCUGACGUUAGCGGCGAACGGGUGAGUAACACGUAAGGAAUCUACCUAUAAGCGGGGGAUAACAUUCGGAAACGGGUGCUAAUACCGCAUAAUAUCUCCUUCCGCAUGGUUCAAUAGUGAAAGACGGUUUCGGCUGUCACUUAUAGAUGGACCCGCGCCGUAUUAGCUAGUUGGUAAGGUAACGGCUUACCAAGGCGACGAUACGUAGCCGACCUGAGAGGGUGAUCGGCCACACUGGAACUGAGACACGGUCCAGACUCCUACGGGAGGCAGCAGUAGGGAAUCUUCCGCAAUGGGCGAAAGCCUGACGGAGCAACGCCGCGUGAGUGAUGAAGGUCUUCGGAUCGUAAAACUCUGUUGUUAGGGAAGAACAAAUUUGCUAGUAACUGAACAAGUCUUGACGGUACCUAACCAGAAAGCCACGGCUAACUACGUGCCAGCAGCCGCCGUAA